rnacentral:rRNA from 1 species
GACGAACGCUGGCGGCGUGCUUAACACAUGCAAGUCGAACGGAAAGGCCCUGCUUUUGUGGGGUGCUCGAGUGGCGAACGGGUGAGUAACACGUGAGUAACCUGCCCUUGACUUUGGGAUAACUUCAGGAAACUGGGGCUAAUACCGGAUAGGAGCUCCUGCUGCAUGGUGGGGGUUGGAAAGUUUCGGCGGUUGGGGAUGGACUCGCGGCUUAUCAGCUUGUUGGUGGGGUAGUGGCUUACCAAGGCUUUGACGGGUAGCCGGCCUGAGAGGGUGACCGGCCACAUUGGGACUGAGAUACGGCCCAGACUCCUACGGGAGGCAGCAGUGGGGAAUAGUGCACAAGGGGCGGAAGCAUGAUGCAGCAACGACGCGUGCGGGAUGACGGCCUUCGGGUUGUAAACCGCUUUCGCCUGUGACGAAGCGUGAGUGACGGUAAUGGGUAAAGAAGCAACGGCUAACUACGU